rnacentral:rRNA from 1 species
GUGCGAAAGCACGACAAGGUUAAUCCGAGUGAUUUCUGCUAAAGAAAUCUUUUGCAAGUCAUAAAACCACUAGUGAAUAAGGGGUGGGCAAGUUCUGGUGUCAGCCGCCGCGGUAAAACCAGCACCUCAAGUGGUCAGGAGGAUUAUUGGGCCUAAAGCAUCCGUAGCCGGCUCUGUAAGUUUUCGGUUAAAUCCAUGUGCUCAACACAUGGGCUGCCGAAAAUACUGCAUAGCUAGGGAGUGGGAGAGGUAGACGGUACUCGGUAGGAAGGGGUAAAAUCCUUUGAUCUAUCGAUGACCACCUGUGGCGAAGGCGGUCUACCAGAACACGUUCGACGGUGAGGGAUGAAAGCUGGGGGAGCAAACCGGAUUAGAUACCCGGGUAGUCCCAGCUGUAAACGAUGCAGACUCGAUGAUGCAUUGGCAUAUAGCCAGUGCAGUGUCGCAGGGAAGCCGUUAAGUCUGCCGCCUGGGAAGUACGUACGCAAGUAUGAAACUUAAAGGAAUUGGCGGGGGAGCACCACAAGGGGUGAAGCCUGCGGUUCAAUUGGAGUCAACGCCAGAAAUCUUACCCGGAGAGACAGCAGAAUGAAGGUCAAGCUGAAGACUUUACCAGACAAGCUGAGAGAG